AGUGAGGUAUUAGUAAAAUUUAUAUAACUCUGUCAAGGUUAAGUUACAGGUGGAACUCCUGUAUAUCUCCA
rnacentral:tRNA from 1 species